UAUUAUUUUAGCGGCGACGGGUGAGUAACGUGUGGGCAACCUACCUUUUACUGUGGAAUAAUCGUUGGAAACGACGACUAAUACCGCAUACGGUUCUUGGAAGGCAUCUUCUAAGAAAGAAAGGAUUUAUUCGGUAAAAGAUGGGCCCGCAUCUGAUUAGCUAGUUGGUGAGAUAAUAGCCCACCAAGGCAACGAUCAGUAGCCGACCUGAGAGGGUGACCGGCCACAUUGGGACUGAGACACGGCCCAAACUCCUACGGAAGGCAGCAG
rnacentral:rRNA from 1 species